GAUGAACGCUGGCGGCGUGCCUAAUACAUGCAGGUCGAGCGAACGGACGAGAAGCUUGCUUCUCUGAUGUUAGCGGCGGACGGGUGAGUAACACGUGGAUAACCUACCUAUAAGACUGGGAUAACUUCGGGAAACCGGAGCUAAUACCGGAUAAUAUUUUGAACCGCAUGGUUCAAAAGUGAAAGACGGUCUUGCUGUCACUUAUAGAUGGAUCCGCGCUGCAUUAGCUAGUUGGUAAGGUAACGGCUUACCAAGGCAACGAUGCAUAGCCGACCUGAGAGGGUGAUCGGCCACACUGGAACUGAGACACGGUCCAGACUCCUACGGGAGGCAGCAGUAGGGAAUCUUCCGCAAUGGGCGAAAGCCUGACGGAGCAACGCCGCGUGAGUGAUGAAGGUCUUCGGAUCGUAAAACUCUGUUAUUAGGGAAGAACAUAUGUGUAAGUAACUGUGCACAUCUUGACGGUACCUAAUCAGAAAGCCACGGCUAACUACGUGCCAGCAGCCGCGGUAAUACGUAGGUGGCAAGCGUUAUCCGGAAUUAUUGGGCGUAAAGCGCGCGUAGGCGGUUUUUUAAGUCUGAUGUGAAAGCCCACGGCUCAACCGUGGAGGGUCAUUGGAAACUGGAAAACUUGAGUGCAGAAGAGGAAAGUGGAAUUCCAUGUGUAGCGGUGAAAUGCGCAGAGAUAUGGAGGAACACCAGUGGCGAAGGCGACUUUCUGGUCUGUAACUGACGCUGAUGUGCGAAAGCGUGGGGAUCAAACAGGAUUAGAUACCCUGGUAGUCCACGCCGUAAACGAUGAGUGCUAAGUGUUAGGGGGUUUCCGCCCCUUAGUGCUGCAGCUAACGCAUUAAGCACUCCGCCUGGGGAGUACGACCGCAAGGUUGAAACUCAAAGGAAUUGACGGGGACCCGCACAAGCGGUGGAGCAUGUGGUUUAAUUCGAAGCAACGCGAAGAACCUUACCAAAUCUUGACAUCCUUUGACAACUCUAGAGAUAGAGCCUUCCCCUUCGGGGGGGCAAAGUGACAGGUGGUGCAUGGUUGUCGUCAGCUCGUGUCGUGAGAUGUUGGGUUAAGUCCCGCAACGAGCGCAACCCUUAAGCUUAGUUGCCAUCAUUAAGUUGGGCACUCUAAGUUGACUGCCGGUGACAAACCGGAGGAAGGUGGGGAUGACGUCAAAUCAUCAUGCCCCUUAUGAUUUGGGCUACACACGUGCUACAAUGGACAAUACAAAGGGCAGCGAAACCGCGAGGUCAAGCAAAUCCCAUAAAGUUGUUCUCAGUUCGGAUUGUAGUCUGCAACUCGACUACAUGAAGCUGGAAUCGCUAGUAAUCGUAGAUCAGCAUGCUACGGUGAAUACGUUCCCGGGUCU
rnacentral:rRNA from 1 species